AGUCACUGACAUUAGAUACCCGGGUAGUCCCAGCCGUAAACGAUGCGCGUUAGGUGUAUCGACGACCACGAGUCGUCGAGGUGCCGAAGGGAAACCGUGAAACGUGCCGCCUGGGAAGUACGGUCGCAAGGCUGAAACUUAAAGGAAUUGGCGGGGGAGCACCACAACAGGUGGAGCCUGCGGUUUAAUUGGACUCAACGCCGGACAACUCACCGGGGACGACAGCAAUAUGUAGGCCAGGCUGAAGACCUUGCCUGAAUCGCUG
rnacentral:rRNA from 1 species